GACGAACGCUGGCGGCGUGCUUAACACAUGCAAGUCGAACGGAAAGGCCCUGCUUUUGUGGGGUGCUCGAGUGGCGAACGGGUGAGUUACACGUGAGUAACCUGCCCUUGACUUUGGGAUAACUUCAGGAAACUGGGGCUAAUACCGGAUAGGAGCUCCUGCUGCAUGGUGGGGGUUGGAAAGUUUCGGCGGUUGGGGAUGGACUCGCGGCUUAUCAGCUUGUUGGUGGGGUAGUGGCUUACCAAGGCUUUGACGGGUAGCCGGCCUGAGAGGGUGACCGGCCACAAUGGGACUGAGAUACGGACCAGACUCCUACGGGAGGCAGCAGUGGGGAAUAUUGCACAAUGGGCGGGAGCCUGAUGCAGCAACGCCGCGUGCGGGAUGACGGCCUUCGGGUUGUAAACCGCUUUCGCCUGUGACGAAGCGUGAGUGACGGUAAUGGGUAAAGAAGCACCGGCUAACUACGUG
rnacentral:rRNA from 1 species